GAUGAAGAACGCAGCAAAAUGCGAUAAGUAAUGUGAAUUGCAGAAUUCAGUGAAUCAUCGAAUCUUUGAACGCACAUUGCGCCCGCUGGUAUUCCGGCGGGCAUGCCUGUUCGAGCGUCAUUUCAACCCUCAAGCCCCCGGGUUUGGUGUUGGGGAUCGGCUCUGCCCUUCUGGGCGGUGCCGCCCCCGAAAUACAUUGGCGGUCUCGCUGCAGCCUCCAUUGCGUAGUAGCUAACACCUCGCAACUGGAACGCGGCGCGGCCAUGCCGUAAAACCCCAACAUCUGAAUGUUGACCUCGGAUCAGGUAGGAAUACCCGCUGAACUUAAGCAUAUCAAUAAGCGGAGGA
rnacentral:misc_RNA from 1 species